AACGAACGCUGGCGGCAGGCUUAACACAUGCAAGUCGAACGCAUCCUUCGGGGUGAGUGGCAGACGGGUGAGUAACGCGUGGGAACGUGCCCUUCAGUUCGGGAUAACCCAGGGAAACUUGGGCUAAUACCGGAUACGUGCGAGAGCAGAAAGAUUUAUCGCUGAAGGAUCGGCCCGCGUCUGAUUAGCUAGUUGGUGGGGUAAUGGCCCACCAAGGCGACGAUCAGUAGCGGGUCUGAGAGGAUGGUCAGCCACAUUGGGACGGAGACACGGCCCAACCGCCUACGGGAGGCAGCAGUGGGGAAUAUUGGACAAUGGGCGCAAGCCUUAUCCAGCCAUGCCGCGUGAGUGAUGAAGGCCUUAGGGUUGUAAAGCUCUUUCGUCCGGGACGAUAAUGACGGUACCGGAAGAAGAAGCCCCGGCUAACUUCGUGCCAGCCGCCGCAGUAA
rnacentral:rRNA from 1 species